UACAUUAUAUAAAUUGAAGGCUUGUCCAAAUCCACUCCCACGUUUUUCUAAAGCCCAAGGAGAGGGUGAGAGAGGGAGAGUUGGCUCAAGGGAAGGGAGGUAGAGAAGUAAGAAGAAGAAGAAGAAAAAAGGGGAAAGAGAAGGAAUUCUUGAAGGUGAAGAAGCAGCUUACGACGGGGAAGGUUAUCCCGAAGACAAUCAAGAUGAAGUUUUAGAGCCGUAGUUCACUUGAAAACUUGGACUAGUAGUUUGUUUUUGUGUUCUCUCUUCUUUUACCUUUUGGUUUGACAAUGUUUGUAAACCUCUAGUGGAACUCAAAUCAGUUAUCUAUGUUAUAACUCUGCUUGUAUGUGUAUAUUAACAUAUUGUGGUUAUCUCUUUUGUUUGAGUUGUACUUUAUAUA